rnacentral:other from 2 species
UGGAGUCUGCGGUGUUCGUGAUGUAAAACAUUUGCUACCUGAUAUUAUAAAAAAGGAGUUAGUCCCUGGAAGGGGGUGUGCAGGCCAGCCGUAGAGCAGGAAGCUCGAACCUUUUACUACAUUACUCCACCUUGUUUAACGAGGUAACAAUUGCAAUUUUACACACGGCAUUGCGGGUUUCAU